GUUUUGCAGGGAAUUCCUGAGCAUAGCACAAUAGCGCUGAGCAUUCACAAUGCACAACUGGCUGAUACUGAAAGCAGCAGGUUGUCGUGCAUUACAAAUCUCUAACUGCCUUGGGUGCAAAUCUCUCAAUGACUCCGUUCCAGCGCAAUUUGUAUCACAGACACACAAGGGGGUUCAGUAGAGGGGUGUCAGAGAACCUGCACACCUGAUAACUUCGAUACCAUCACAUCAAACAUCUCACACGUACAUUGGAAAUACGCAUUGUACCUCCAGGUCGAUUAUUGAAAUGUACUAUAUAUAUUUUUGCAGCCUUCACGUCUAUGUUCCUAGUUUUUAAUGGAC